rnacentral:rRNA from 1 species
UACGAAGGGGGCUAGCGUUGCUCGGAAUUACUGGGCGUAAAGGGCGCGUAGGCGGAUAGUUUAGUCAGAGGUGAAAGCCCGGAGCUCAACUCCGGAAUUGCCUUUAAGACUGCAUCGCUAGAAUCAUGGAGAGGUUAGUGGAAUUCCGAGUGUAGAGGUGAAAUUCGUAGAUAUUCGGAAGAACACCAGUGGCGAAGGCGACUAACUGGACAUGUAUUGACGCUGAGGUGCGAAAGCGUGGGGAGCAAACAGG